AAAGCCUUUGGCUUAACCAAAGAAGUGCAUCGGAAACUGUCAGACUUGAGUGCAGAAGAGGACAGUGGAACUCAUGUGUAGCGGUGGAAUGCGUAGAUAUAUGGAAGAACACCAGUGGCGAAGGCGGCUGUCUGGUCUGCAACUGACGCUGAGGCUCGAAAGCAUGGGUAGCGAACAGGAUUAGAUACCCUGGUAGUCCAUGCCGUAAACGAUGAGUGCUAGGUGUUGGAGGGUUUCCGCCCUUCAGUGCCGCAGCUAACGCAUUAAGCACUCCGCCUGGGGAGUACGACCGCAAGGUUGAAACUCAAAGGAAUUGACGGGGGCCCGCACAAGCGGUGGAGCAUGUGGUUUAAUUCGAAGCUACGCGAAGAACCUUACCAGGUCUUGACAUCUUGCGCCAACCCUAGAGAUAGGGCGUUUCCUUCGGGAACGCAAUGACAGGUGGUGCAUGGUCGUCGUCAGCUCGUGUCGUGAGAUGUUGGGUUAAGUCCCGCAACGAGCGCAACCCUUGUUACUAGUUGCCAGCAUUCAGUUGGGCACUCUAGUGAGACUGCCGGUGACAAACCGGAGGAAGGUGGGGACGACGUCAGAUCAUCAUGCCCCUUAUGACCUGGGCUACACACGUGCUACAAUGGACGGUACAACGAGUCGCGAACUCGCGAGGGCAAGCUAAUCUCUUAAAACCGUUCUCAGUUCGGACUGCAGGCUGCAACUCGCCUGCACGAAGUCGGAAUCGCUAGUAAUCGCGGAUCAGCAUGCCGCGGUGAAUACGUUCCCGGGCCUUGUACACACCGCCCGUCACACCAUGAGAGUUUGCAACACCCAAAGUCGGUGUGGG
rnacentral:rRNA from 2 species